rnacentral:misc_RNA from 1 species
GAUGAAAGAACGCAGCGAAAUGCGAUACGUAGUGUGAAUUGCAGAAUUCAGUGAAUCAUCGAAUCUUUGAACGCACAUUGCACCUCUCGGUAUUCCGGGAGGUAUGCCUGUUCGAGCGUCAUUUGUACCCUCAAGCUCUGCUUGGUGUUGGGUGUUUGUUCCGCCUCUGUGUGUGAACUCGCCUCAAAACAAUUGGCAGCCGGCGUACUUGUUUCGGAGCGCAGCACAUUUUGCGAUCCAGAUCAACGUACAGCGGCAUCCAAGAAGCCUUAUUUAACGCUCUUGACCUCGGAUCAGGUAGGGAUACCCGCUGAACUUAAGCAUAUCAAUAAGCGGAGGA